rnacentral:misc_RNA from 1 species
GAUGAAGAACGUAGCGAAAUGCGAUAAGUAGUGUGAAUUGCAGAAUUCAGUGAAUCAUCGAAUCUUUGAACGCACAUUGCGCCCUUUGGUAUUCCUUAGGGCAUGCCUGUUCGAGCGUCAUUUAAACCUUCAAGCCCUGCUUGGUGUUGGGUGCCUGUCCCGCCCCCGCGCGUGGACUCACCUCAAAUCCAUUGGCGGCCCCCGCAAGGCCACGAGCGCAGCAGAAACGCAAACUCGUGUGCCCGGCGGGCGGCUCCCAGAAGCUACACCCACCAUUUUGACCUCGGAUCAGGUAGGGAUACCCGCUGAACUUAAGCAUAUCAAUAAGCGGAGGA